rfam:Sclerotinia sclerotiorum 1980 scaffold_22 genomic scaffold, whole genome shotgun sequence.
GGAAGUACAACGCAUACAUCACAUUCGCUAUAAAGCAUUUUCGGUGAGAAACCCGUCAUCAUUCGUGAUGAUGUGAGGUUUCCACGACCUUGAGAAUCGUCAGUCGAAAUGGAGAGAAAUUUGAUCGAUCUUGGGUGCGGCGCUUCCUUUUUCACUAUAGGAAGGGUCGCAAUGAUUGGCCAUACAU